AUUGAACGCUGGCGGCAUGCUUUACACAUGCAAGUCGAACUGCAGCGCGGGCUUCGGCCUGGCGGCGAGUGGCGAACGGGUGAGUAAUGCAUCGGAACGUGCCCAGUAGUGGGGGAUAGCCCGGCGAAAGCCGGAUUAAUACCGCAUACGACCUGAGGGUGAAAGCGGGGGACCGAAAGGCCUCGCGCUAUUGGAGCGGCCGAUGUCGGAUUAGCUAGUUGGUGGGGUAAAGGCUUACCAAGGCGACGAUCCGUAGCUGGUCUGAGAGGACGACCAGCCACACUGGGACUGAGACACGGCCCAGACUCCUACGGGAGGCAGCAGUGGGGAAUUUUGGACAAUGGGGGCAACCCUGAUCCAGCCAUGCCGCGUGCGGGAAGAAGGCCUUCGGGUUGUAAACCGCUUUUGUUCGGGAAGAAAUCCUCUGGGCUAAUACCCCGGGGGAUGACGGUACCGGAAGAAUAAGCACCGGCUAACUACGUG
rnacentral:rRNA from 1 species